UACAGAGGGGGCAAGCGUUAUUCGGAAUUAUUGGGCGUAAAGGGCGCGUAGGCGGCCUGGCAAGUGGAUGGUGAAAUCCCUCGGCUUAACCGAGGAACUGCCAUCCAGACUGCUUGGCUUGAGACCGGGAGAGGUGAGUGGAAUUCCCAGUGUAGCGGUGAAAUGCGUAGAUAUUGGGAGGAACACCAGUGGCGAAGGCGGCUCACUGGACCGGUACUGACGCUGAGGCGCGAAAGCGUGGGGAGCAAACAGGG
rnacentral:rRNA from 1 species